rnacentral:misc_RNA from 1 species
UUGGCUCACGCAGCAGGCAUCUUUAUAGAGGAGGCGUUGCUUUGAUGCAUGCUUUCGUUGGAUAGGAGACCGCUAGAGGGCCACAACUGUAAACUGCAUUCGCUCUCAGUGCGCUUCGACAAUAAUGAUAUGAACGAAGAAGACAAGGCAGUGGAGCGGAGAGCUCGCAAAGCGGCUGCAGCGCGGGCUCGCCGUCGAGACCCGGAGGUGAGAUCUCGAGAAGCCGAAGCAGCACGGGCUCGCCGUCAACAACAACGAGCCACCACCAAUCCAGAGGCGGCGAGGGCUCGCGCAGCCGAAGCGGCACGGGCGCGUCGUCAAGCCAACCCUGAGCUGAGAGCCGGCGAAGCUGAAGCGAGACGGAAGCGGCGGCAAGCAGACCUGGAUGCAGCACGGGUACGGGAUGCUGCAGCCAAGCGCCUCAAGCAGUCGCUUCCUGAGGCUAGCAUCCUCAAGCAGCCAUGGCGCCAUUGUGCAGUUGUUGGCUGUACCAAGCCAACACAACCUAUGCAUCGGAUGCCCCAAAAGGACGAGCUGCUGUGCAAGUGGCUGAAGCUAAUUGGCCUGCCUAAAUCGGAGACACGUACUUUCUUAUUCGUGUGCCAGCGGCAUUUUGCCGCCGAUGCUUACACCCAGAACCCAGACCUGCAGGAGGACAUGGGCUUCACUGCGAGGUACUACCUGCGGUCAGAUGCGAUGCCAUCCCUGUCCCUUCCCAGUGAACCAUAUAUCGAAGAGGAGGAGGAAACGCUGAUGAACCAGACAACAGCUGCGUCUGAGAGGGUUGCUGAAGCACCGCCCCGAGCUCCAUUGCGGCAGUAUGGUCGUCGUCGUCCAAGGGGCACAGUUACCACGCAAACAGCCCACUAUCAAUGUACAGUUGGUGUGCAGGCCUCUACAUUGGCCAUGGGAAGAUAUUUUGGCGUGCAGGCGUGCAGCUUUGGCAUCUCGAUGGGAACACAGACCGAGGUCCAGCCUGCAGCUACGUGCACGAUACAGAAUGCUGCUUCUUUAUCGGAUCCGAUGUGCAACUGUGGCGUCGAUGAACCGUGCCACUGCAGCUCAUUGAUGGACAGCAAACAUGAUAUCCACACAAAUUCUCAAUGCGGAGGUCGUCACCAGCACAUGGACGACGUGAUAAGCUGCUAAGCUGUUUCGGGGCUCUUUAAAAAGACCGGGUGUGCAAGCACCACCCCUCUCCCAUGAAACAUGCACUCGGAGCACAAUGUUAGCAGAAGAAAGGCAAGAGCGAAAGCUUCAUUGAAAGAAAUUGAAGACAGGACAAGAGGCAGCCCGACGCCACCUGGGUCAAAGGCAAAGAGGCCUACACGGCCGUGGUGGUUGACAGCCGGGGCGAGGAAGGCCUUGGUUUCAAGAAGUGCCUUCGUGAUGCCACGCACUGGUGCCAUGACUUCCCAUGACAAGAAAUGCCAAGUCGUUCUCUGGCAGUGUGACCGGUCCCAGGGAUCCAACUCGUCAUCUGCGCCUAACAACUCAGUGGGGCUUCAAGAUGAGGACAAAAGAAGUGUUAGCAGAGUGCAGAUGCGAUCAGCGAUGCCUUUCAAUGAAGGGGCAAAAAUAUUGUCCUUCUUUCCGUGCCUUUGGUGCCAGGCAACUGUACAAAGAUAUCCUUUCACCUUAUUCACGUGAUCGGUCAGGUGAAAAUUUUUACUGGACCAAUCACCUGAAUCAUCCACUCGAUUGCACUGGAGAAAAUUAUCUGACCCAUCGCUUGAAUCACUCGCCCGAUUGGUCAGAUGAAAAUUUUUCGGUGCGGAAAUAUUCUAGUUUAUUCCUUAGUGGCUACAGGUGUUAACCCAUGAGGAAAUGUUUUUCAUUUGUCAUCCAACUGUCUGCCUUUCACCUUUGAAACAUGAAAAAAGCAGAGGUGAAAAUGCAAAUGUGCGGAAUAAACCACAUCUGGUCUUAAAUUAC